rnacentral:lncRNA from 1 species
GAGUAUCGAUCACAAGAUGCAAGGAUUUCAGACAGGUAUCUGGAGCUACAGGUAAAAGUUAGUUCCUAGUUUCUCUCUCUCCAAAUUUCUCUCUUGAGUCAAAGUCUGCUUCCAUUGCAGGAUCAGUGACCAAGAUUGGACAGGCUUCCAUGAAUCAAAACUUAAUGGUGGUUGCCACCAAGUUCUGUUCACUUCUUUUUGACCUAUAUCCAAGAGUUCUUUGCGAAAGCGAGCCUUGAAGAUUGCCGCCUCCAAGUCCCGUUUCGAACUCUUUUAUUUGAGUCUUUAUGAAUCAAGCCUUAAUGGUUUUA